GGGUUGUGAGGUUAAGCGACUAAGCGUACACGGUGGAUGCCCUGGCAGUCAGAGGCGAUGAAGGGCGUGCUAAUCUGCGAUAAGCGCCGGUAAGGUGAUAUGAACCGUUAUAACCGGCGAUACCCGAAUGGGGAAACCCAGUGUGAUUCGUCACACUAUCAUUAACUGAAUCCAUAGGUUAAUGAGGCGAACCGGGGGAACUGAAACAUCUAAGUACCCCGAGGAAAAGAAAUCAACCGAGAUUCCCCCAGUAGCGGCGAGCGAACGGGGAGGAGCCCAGAGCCUGAAUCAGCAUGUGUGUUAGUGGAAGCGUCUGGAAAGGCGCGCGAUACAGGGUGACAGCCCCGUACACAAAAGCGCAUGUGCUGUGAGCUCGAUGAGUAGGGCGGGACACGUGGUAUCCUGUCUGAAUAUGGGGGGACCAUCCUCCAAGGCUAAAUACUCCUGACUGACCGAUAGUGAACCAGUACCGUGAGGGAAAGGCGAAAAGAACCCCGGCGAGGGGAGUGAAAAAGAACCUGAAACCGUGUACGUACAAGCAGUGGGAGCACAGGUUUACCUGUGUGACUGCGUACCUUUUGUAUAAUGGGUCAGCGACUUAUAUUCUGUAGCAAGGUUAACCGUAUAGGGGAGCCGGAGGGAAACCGAGUCUUAACCGGGCGUUAAGUUGCAGGGUAUAGACCCGAAACCCGGUGAUCUAGCCAUGGGCAGGUUGAAGGUUGGGUAACACUAACUGGAGGACCGAACCGACUAAUGUUGAAAAAUUAGCGGAUGACCUGUGGCUGGGGGUGAAAGGCCAAUCAAACCGGGAGAUAGCUGGUUCUCCCCGAAAGCUAUUUAGGUAGCGCCUCGUGAAUUCAUCUCCGGGGGUAGAGCACUGUUUCGGCUAGGGGGCCAUCCCGGCUUACCAACCCGAUGCAAACUGCGAAUACCGGAGAAUGUUAUCACGGGAGACACACGGCGGGUGCUAACGUCCGUCGUGAAGAGGGAAACAACCCAGACCGCCAGCUAAGGUCCCAAAGUCAUGGUUAAGUGGGAAACGAUGUGGGAAGGCCCAGACAGCCAGGAUGUUGGCUUAGAAGCAGCCAUCAUUUAAAGAAAGCGUAAUAGCUCACUGGUCGAGUCGGCCUGCGCGGAAGAUGUAACGGGGCUAAACCAUGCACCGAAGCUGCGGCAGCGACGUUUAUGCGUUGUUGGGUAGGGGAGCGUUCUGUAAGCCUGUGAAGGUGUGUCGUGAGGCAUGCUGGAGGUAUCAGAAGUGCGAAUGCUGACAUAAGUAACGAUAAAGCGGGUGAAAAGCCCGCUCGCCGGAAGACCAAGGGUUCCUGUCCAACGUUAAUCGGGGCAGGGUGAGUCGACCCCUAAGGCGAGGCCGAAAGGCGUAGUCGAUGGGAAACGGGUUAAUAUUCCCGUACUUGGUGUUACUGCGAAGGGGGGACGGAGAAGGCUAUGUUGGCCGGGCGACGGUUGUCCCGGUUUAAGCGUGUAGGCUGGUUUUCCAGGCAAAUCCGGAAAAUCAAGGCUGAGGCGUGACGACGAGGCACUACGGUGCUGAAGCAACAAAUGCCCUGCUUCCAGGAAAAGCCUCUAAGCAUCAGGUAACAUCAAAUCGUACCCCAAACCGACACAGGUGGUCAGGUAGAGAAUACCAAGGCGCUUGAGAGAACUCGGGUGAAGGAACUAGGCAAAAUGGUGCCGUAACUUCGGGAGAAGGCACGCUGACACGUAGGUGAAGUGAUUUACUCAUGGAGCUGAAGUCAGUCGAAGAUACCAGCUGGCUGCAACUGUUUAUUAAAAACACAGCACUGUGCAAACACGAAAGUGGACGUAUACGGUGUGACGCCUGCCCGGUGCCGGAAGGUUAAUUGAUGGGGUCAGCGCAAGCGAAGCUCCUGAUCGAAGCCCCGGUAAACGGCGGCCGUAACUAUAACGGUCCUAAGGUAGCGAAAUUCCUUGUCGGGUAAGUUCCGACCUGCACGAAUGGCGUAAUGAUGGCCAGGCUGUCUCCACCCGAGACUCAGUGAAAUUGAACUCGCUGUGAAGAUGCAGUGUACCCGCGGCAAGACGGAAAGACCCCGUGAACCUUUACUAUAGCUUGACACUGAACAUUGAGCCUUGAUGUGUAGGAUAGGUGGGAGGCUUUGAAGCGUGGACGCCAGUCUGCGUGGAGCCGACCUUGAAAUACCACCCUUUAAUGUUUGAUGUUCUAACGUGGACCCGUAAUCCGGGUUGCGGACAGUGUCUGGUGGGUAGUUUGACUGGGGCGGUCUCCUCCUAAAGAGUAACGGAGGAGCACGAAGGUUGGCUAAUCCUGGUCGGACAUCAGGAGGUUAGUGCAAUGGCAUAAGCCAGCUUGACUGCGAGCGUGACGGCGCGAGCAGGUGCGAAAGCAGGUCAUAGUGAUCCGGUGGUUCUGAAUGGAAGGGCCAUCGCUCAACGGAUAAAAGGUACUCCGGGGAUAACAGGCUGAUACCGCCCAAGAGUUCAUAUCGACGGCGGUGUUUGGCACCUCGAUGUCGGCUCAUCACAUCCUGGGGCUGAAGUAGGUCCCAAGGGUAUGGCUGUUCGCCAUUUAAAGUGGUACGCGAGCUGGGUUUAGAACGUCGUGAGACAGUUCGGUCCCUAUCUGCCGUGGGCGCUGGAGAACUGAGGGGGGCUGCUCCUAGUACGAGAGGACCGGAGUGGACGCAUCACUGGUGUUCGGGUUGUCAUGCCAAUGGCACUGCCCGGUAGCUAAAUGCGGAAGAGAUAAGUGCUGAAAGCAUCUAAGCACGAAACUUGCCCCGAGAUGAGUUCUCCCUGAGACUUAGAGUCUCCUGAAGGAACGUUGAAGACGACGACGUUGAUAGGCCGGGUGUGUAAGCGCAGCGAUGCGUUGAGCUAACCGGUACUAAUGAACCGUGAGGCUUAACCUUACAACGCCGAAGCUGUU
rnacentral:rRNA from 2 species